rnacentral:rRNA from 1 species
GACGAACGCUGGCGGCGUGCUUAACACAUGCAAGUCGAACGGUAAGGCCCUUCGGGGUACACGAGUGGCGAACGGGUGAGUAACACGUGGGUGAUCUGCCCUGCACUUCGGGAUAGCCUGGGAAACUGGGUCUAAUACCGGCUAGGACCACUGCCUGCAUGGGUGGUGGUGGAAAGCUUUUGCGGUGUGGGAAUAGCCUGCGUUCGAUUAGCUUGUUGGUGAGGUAAUGGCUCACCAAGGCGACGAUCGAUAGCUGGUCUGAGAGGAUGAUCAGCCAGACUGGAACUGAGACACGGUCCAGACUCCUACGGGAGGCAGCAGUAGGGAAUUUUCCACAAUGGGCGAAAGCCUGAUGGAGCAACGCCGCGUGCAGGAUGAAGGCCUUCGGGUUGUAAACUGCUUUUAUGUGCGAAGAAUAUGACGGUAACACAUGAAUAAGGGUCGGCUAACUACGUGCCAGCCGCCGCGGUAA